UGAAUAAGAUGAAGAAGUCCAUCAGAAGUAGCAACGAGGAGAUCCUCCAGCAUGGACUGCAAACUAUAGGGAAGUAAGCAAUUUAGAAUCAAUGAACUUUAGGAGAGCACACUGGGAAAGCAAGGAGUAUGAAUGUAAUGGCUCUGGAGAAUGUUCAUAUACAGUGGAUCAUGAAACCACUUACAAAACUGCCAUUUAUCUACAAUUUAGGUAUCUAGUAGCUUCAUCUUUGUAUAAUUUAAUCUAGAACCCGAAAUUCUGGAUGAAAUACAAGACUAUGCGCAGCCACAGUCAUGAACUGAUCAACUUGGUUAAAACUAGAAAUACUCAAACAGUAAAUUCAAAGAUGAAAGACGAUAAAUGACAAGAAAGGACAAAGGCAAAGAAACCAUAAAAAGAACAACUUAUGACAGGCUGACAGUCUGGAGCCAUAAAGUACAGAGGUAGUAAUCCUCUAGCCCUGGCCACCAGAACCUUCCCCAGUGAUGGAAAUGUGUUAUCAAACAUGGUAAGCAGCAGCUACAUGUAAUGACUGCAUACCUCAAAUAUGGCUACUGUGACAGAAGAACGUAUUUCUUAACUUUGCUCCCUUUGAACUAACUGAAAUUCAAGGAACUUCAUUUGACUAGAGGCUACUUUACUGGAGCUCACAGUUCUGGGUAUUGUUGAGCCUCAUGUUGUUCAUUCAUACAAGUAUUUAUAAAGCCCAUGCUCCACGACAGGUGCCAUGUUCUGUGCUGGCGAUUCUGGGGUGAAAACAAUAGUUUCUCCUUUCAGAAGACCUCUCAGUUGACUUAAGUGAGAAUUAUGGAGUAUGAUCUCCACACUAUUUACAAAGAGAUUUAACAUUUACUUACCUAAUGGCAAAUAAAUGCCCACUUUGCUCACUCUUAUGUGCCCAGCCCCUAAGGCAGUGCUAGUUAUGUAUGGCACGCAAUGUUUGUGGGAGGAGGAAAAAGGGGACAAAAGGAGAGAGGAAAAGGGAAUCCAAGAAUAACAAUGCAAAGGCACUGGCAUAGAGGAAGAAAGAGAACCAGGGGAACCAGAGGAAAUUGAUAUAAAAAAGCCAAGGGAAUAGAUGGAUGGAAAAAGUACUUAAGAGUAUCAAAUGCUACAAAAAACGCAAAUGUAAGAAAGAAAUGAAAAAGUUAAAAAUGUGGUGUCCAUAAUAUAUACUCCCUAUUAUAUUAAUACUAUUAAAAUUCUUUUCAUACUU
rnacentral:lncRNA from 1 species